rfam:Rhodotorula sp. JG-1b unplaced genomic scaffold RHOSPscaffold_3, whole genome shotgun sequence.
GCUGUCGUGGUAUAACGGCUAUUAUCUUUGCCUUCCAAGCAAAGGAAACGGGUUCGACUCCCGUCGACAGCA